rnacentral:lncRNA from 1 species
AGGGGUCAUUGGUGUCCUGGCAGGGAAAUGGAGCCCUGGAGGAUGGAUCUGGGCUUCAAGGGAUUAAAGCCAGCCUUGAAAGAGUCCCUGAGGUCCUUGCAGGGCCAGUUCUGCCCCUCGGGGGAGGAUAAGGGUGUGGGGCCCUCCCUCCUCCAAGAGCCUCAACGCCCUCAGCCCUCAGAGCUCUGGCCACAGCCUCUGGAUGAGGACAGGGAUGGAGCACAAGUGGCUGCGCGGCGCAGGGCCCUGGUGGCCCUGGUGGCCUUGGCCAAGGCCUUGGAGACAUCGGACAGCGUCCCCACCGCACUGGCCGGGGCCGAGACCACCCUGGGCCAGGCCCAGGUGACCCAGAAGAGGCUGGAGAGGGCCUGAGAGGCCACGGUGGCCCCGACGGUGGCCCUGGGAACCCUGGGGGAUGAGGACGAGCAGUGGCUGCGGCAGCACGGGGCCAAGGCUGAGGUGGCUCCGGCGGCGCUGAAGCACGAGGAGAGAUGGGCACGGCGGUGCCAGCACUGGCUGCGGGCUGGGCACGGGCUGGCCAUGGUGCUGAUGGUGCUGUGUGGUGGUGUGUUGUCCCUGGACUCAGCCCGCGCCGCCCUGGGGGUGAGUGAAGACAAUCACCUGCUGCUGGACCUGACUAUGGUGGCCGUGUCCUGUGAGGUGGCCUGGCGGGGUUUGGGGACAUCACAGCAUCACCUGGCCACCGCCGCGUACCACCAGCGGGACAUGGCCCUGAACAUGCAGGACCAUGCCUGGCAGGUGGCAGCCGCCAGGGCCAGCACCAAGGCCGCCACGGCCAUCAACGAGGCCACUGCAGAUGAGCUGGGGGAGCUGGAGGAGGUGACACAGGAACUGGGGAUGUUGGUGACAGCUGUCACCCAGGACAGGGAGGUGACACCUUGGGGGACACAGGGACAGGGCUUCCCCAGAGCUGCCUGGGCACUUGGGGACAUCCUAGUGGGCUUGGGGACAUUGCGUGAGGGGCACGAGGAGGUGACGCAAUGGCUGGAGGCGGCCCAGAGAGCGCUGGUGGGGCAGGAUAGGGACAGGGUGGGGACAUUGGGGUGGCACUGUCAUGGCCAGGGCAUGGGGCACCCUGAGGGACAUUGGGGACCUUGGGGACACCCCCAUGUCCUUUCCUUGGAAACGCCCAGGCCACAUUGAUAUCCCCUGUCCUGUUUUGGGCCAUCACAAUGUCCCUGAUGUCCCCACAGUGUCCAAAACAGGAUCCCAGUGUCCCCAGUGUCCCCAACAGGACACUGGGAGACAUUUGGGCCAUGUUGGGGACAUGGGGGGGACAUCGAGGCCUGUUGGGGACACUCAGGGGACAUCAGGUUCCUGUUGGAGAUACUGGGGGGACAUCUGGGCUCUGUUGGGAGCCCUGAGGGGACACUGGGGAUAUUGGGCUCCUGUUGAGGACAUCAGGGAGGACAUUGAGGCCCUGUUGGGGACACUGAGGGGAUACUGGGGUGUGUUUGGGACAGCAGGGCCCUGAUGGGGACUCUGGAGGGGCAUUUGGGUCCUGUUGGAGACCCUCAGUGGACACUGGGGGCAUGUGGAGACCCUGAGGAGACAUCGGGGUCUCUUGGGGGCCAUCAGGGAGACAUCGAGCACCAUGCAGGUGGGGAGGGCGUGGCUGGGGUGGUGAUGUCACCUCAUCACCUCUUCCUGUUUACUGCUGGCUGCCCCACAUUCCUGCGUGUCACCCGAGUGGCCCUGGACGUGUC